rnacentral:rRNA from 1 species
GCAGAGAGGCCACACCCGUUCCCAUACCGAACACGGAAGUUAAGCUCUCUAGCGCCGAU